rnacentral:rRNA from 1 species
GACGAACGCUGGCGGCGUGCUUAACACAUGCAAGUCGAACGGAAAGGCCCUGCUUUUGUGGGGUGCUCGAGUGGCGAACGGGUGAGUAACACGUGAGUAACCUGCCCUUGACUUUGGGAUAACUUCAGGAAACUGGGGCUAAUACCGGAUAGGAGCUCCUGCUGCACGGUGGGGGUUGGAAAGAUUCGGCGGUUGGGGAUGGUCUCGCGGCUUAUCGGCUUGUUGGUGAGGUAGUGGCUGACCAAGGCUUUGACGGGUAGCCGGCCUGAGAGGUUUAACGGGCACCAUGGGACUGAGGGAGGCCGCAGACUCCUACGGGACGCAGCGGGGGGGAACAUGGCAGAGUGGGCCGAAGCCUGAGGCAGCGACGCCGCGUGCGGAAUGACGGCCUUCGGGUUGUAAACCGCUUUCGCCUGUGCCAAAGCGUGAGUGACGGUAACGGGUAAAGAAGCCCCGGCUAACUACGUG